AGCGGGAGGCGCCUUGGGUGCUCGGUGGCCAUUUUCUGAGGGCGUCAAUGGGUGCUCCUUUUCAAGGCUUCAGUGAAGGGGCUCAGGGCUGAGGGGGCUGGAAGAGGCCUGGAAAGGGCAGGAUGAAGGGCUUUGGGGUUAGGGAAUGCUCCAUGGGAGCUAAGAGAUGGGAGGACCUUGCCUUGGCUCCUUAGAAAGGGACUAGAAGCAUCUCCACUUGCUGUGAGGGAGAUGUGAGUGUGGGGGUUGGUUAUAUCUGAGAUUUGUGAGAGAAAAUUGGUUCCAAAAGGGUGAAAGGAAUGAAGAAGAAGAGGCAGGGUGGGGUCCAGGGAGUUACAGUUACAGAGGCAGGAAGAGGAGGGUUUUGAUGUCUCCUUGCAGAGAGAGACGCUGGCAUAAGGAAUUGAGGAGAGAUUUAGCAGCAUAACUGACUAACCCAGGAGCUGGGGAUGAGGAAACUUAACAGCAAGAGAAAGAAAAAGACUUAGUAGGUCAUCUCCGGCACACGUCCAUCAGCCCAAGGCUGCUCUUGCCAGGGAGAAUUUUUCCUUCAAGAGUUGAUAGUUCAGUUUAAGUCCCGGCGCUUUCCUCAGUGCCCAAAUGCCACAAGAGAGGGAAAUCCGGGCAUUCUGGCUUCUCUAACGGCUAAGUCCUAAAAUCUUUCUUUUUUUUUUUUUUUCCCCUCUAUCCCUAUUCCUUUUGAUUCAGACAAAACUCCCUCUGAAGUCGAGUGGACCGAAUACGAGGGCGUUUAACUCAAAGCUCAAUUCAGAUGUCACUGGGGGUAAAUCUCCAUAAUGCCAGCUGGCGCUUGCUUGAGUGAGCAGUCAUUGCUCCUAAGUCGGCCGCCCAGGGAAAUCUGCACCGGGUCUGCAGGAGGUGGCCCUGGUUGGGCUGAAGUGGGAAAGGAGCGAGCCUGAAAUGGAGGAGAAAGCAUCCUUCACUCCCUGUGUCAUCACAAAUUUUGGUAUCGCCUAUGAAAAUGGUUUGCCUGCUCCGAUGCGUGGGGAGGAGCGCUGCCCCCGGGGGAAAGCAAGCGGCCUCCUCUGUGAAUUUCACCAGCGAAGGGCAACGCCGUUUUGUGUUACAGCAUCCCGAUCCAGCCCAUUGAGUUGUCUGCGGAGAGUGUUAAUUGUAAUUUAUGGAGGCUAAAUUCCUAAUAGUGGGCGAAAAUCGCGGGCUUUGUUGAAAUUAGCGGUCCGCUGGUUUAGAAUGGUGAAAAAUAUGUCUCGCGGGCUGCUACCGACUGAGUGAGAUGUACUUGGUCUUUUUUUCACCCUGCAGGCAGGACCCCGUGCUUAUUUCUUCCAGCUUAAACAGCAGAGGACACAUUAAAACAGAACAAAGCAAAAAGCCCGGACCGAAAACCUCGAUAGUAGGAGGGGGGGAAAAGUUAGUAGAAACUCAAUGAAGGCAACAGCCGUUUCUUCCCGCCUCAGGUCUGAUUCAAUCAGGUCUUUCAAAAGAAACUCCUGUCACCACAAACUGCCUUUUCAUGCCAGAUUCCUCCCGGCUCCCCCUCUCUGCCCCAUCCCAGCGACUUCCAACAGCACCGAUCAAUCUCCAAGCGACACCCAGCCCCCCCGCCCAGCUGCCUCCAGCCACCGCCGUUCCCAAGCAAAAGGCAGCUUCACCCAGGAAGGUGGUGGAAAAAAUGUGGACAAAUUUCUGAUUUGCAACACUCUGGGAAUGGGUUUAUUGCCAUUGUUUGAGUGCAAAUGUAUAAAUAAAGCAAAACGAAGAUUCCAGGGUGAGUCCGAUGAAAAGCAGAAAACAAGAAAUUUUAUGGCCAUAAGUGGCGUGGGCUAAUGGUGAUUUUUGAGGCACUGGACCAUGGUAGUUACUUAGCUAAAUGAUUGCUGUGAAACCGGGCAAGAGGCUUAUUUCUUAAUUACUGUUACAUAUUAUGUCAAGCUGACACUUUGAGGCGUGCUCGGGCAAUGAUAAAGUUAGCCAAAAAAAAAAACAAAAAACAAAAAACCAUGCAACCAACAACAACCAAAACUCCCUUGCCGUUCUGAGAGGCUGUUUCUAAAGCACGUUACUUGGCGGUGAUGCUGGGAAAAGGCCACACUGGCCCCUAGAAAGGGGUGUCCCAGACUCAUGCUCUACAGCGACAUGGAGUUAUCAGCACCGCUUACCUUUAGAUCCAUAGGAUAGCGGGGCUGGAUAAAUGUCUGGAAACCUGACAGCCUUUCAGCUGGCUUUCUCAGCGCUGUCAAAGCACUGCUCUGAGCAUCUUCAGCUAGCCCAGAGCAAAAUACAGUCACCUCAGUGCUCGAGCCAAGCAGGAAAGCUAUAGGGGAGUGGGAAGAGCCAAGAAGAGCAGUGGCACUAGGAUACGGGAAGCAGGUAUCCCUGCUAUCCAAAUGUCCGGAGGAAGAGCCAGAUUUUCCUUGUGGCCACACGGAGCCCAAGCACUGUGACUGGGAGCAUCAUUCCCACAGGGCACGCACGCAUGGGACAGAUGACAGAGCAAGGCCAAGCAGCGUGCCGGCCCCGUCUCGGUGGAGCUGUUCUCGUUUCUAGUGGCCACGGAGCUGAUUUUGGUUAUGCACAAAGCAAAAGUACUGCCAAGAUAACCCCAAGCUGCCAAUUCGCUGCUCACAGAUCUAUCCAUCUAGACAUCAAUUCACGUUACACACACGCUUUGAUCGUGGAUAGCCCAUAUGUAAAAAAUCACACAUGGAGGCAGCUCUAAUUUACAGUUCGUUAUAUAUCCCUGUAGGCUUGCAGCCCUGCAGGCUGUAGUUUUGGCCUCUGCUACUUUACAAAGUAAAUAUACACGUAUAGAAUUCCCCAGGUGCUGCCCCCUCCCUCACUCUUUAUACUGGAGGUGUACAAAUGCUGAACAAAGGCACUUUUGCUGCAUGGUUCUAUCAGUGUAUUUUCUCCCCAGCCUAAACCAGUGCUCCAGAAGAAACAGAAACUACACAUCUGCAACGCCUUGCAAUAACUGCCUCACCAGUGGGCAUGAACAGUGAAGAAUAUCAGGCUAGCAGCCCUAUGGAAUAAUUUGCCUUCAAGAGCCCCUGGAUUCGCUCCAGUAUUUUUGAGGUCCUGCAGCAACCUGUGCCCAUCAGUAGGUCCACGGAAGGCAAAGGGAUUACUGAUGUGAGUAAAAUCCCAUGGCCACCUCUGAACCAUGCCUGGAAAUAGGGCAUCUUGCCUGCUACGCUUCAGGUUCCUACUGCUCUUUGGAUACCACUGCCCAAGCUGAUGAAACAGGUAUUUCCCCAAUGCAGAAUCACUUCUGUUUUAGUUUUAUACUUGAGAUGUUUGCUCGGUGUUUUUUCCUCCCCGCUGCUGUUUCAGCUUUCUGUUAAUAGGUUGGUUUUGCCCUCGUGGCUCAGCCUGCAUUCAGGUCUCCUCUCCAGGAGUACACACCCUUUGGAGAGCACUAAGUACAGGCAAUGAAGUAGCCCAACAUCAUCGAGCUUCAAACACACAUUAAUACUCUGAAAACUUUUCUGAUUGAACCUUAGCAAAGGUGGAAAAUGUGUGAAAGAGGGAGAGCUGGGCAAAAUGGGGCCUUGUAGAGUUCACUGUGAGCUCUGCAAGGAGGGGAAACCAAAGCCGCUCAGUAUGACCCAACCGUCCCUCAUUCCCAUCACCAUAACAAGAAGGCCGGAGCCAGGAGUGAACCCACACCAGUGGUGACAUGGACAGCAGAGCCCAGGGAAGAUGUACAUUAAUGCAGGAGGAGUAGGGGGAGCAGAUCUUUCGGCUGGAGAAAGAGAAACAGCGCUCCUUCCUUUUAACAUGCUGUUGUCUGGCUUGAUCUUGUCACUCCAAAGGGACCCAUUCAGAGGAGGAAGAAAUACUCACACCCUAGAGUGCUCCGAUAUUAGCCCUGCCAACCGAGCAAAGAGACCACUGGAAGCUGAGGAGAUGGAGGAAAACAAAACCGAGCCAAGUUAUUGAACUCAGUUUGACUCUGAGCCUUUCAGGUACCUCUCUCAAACCUAAAUCCGCGCCGGCAAGAAAGCCAUGGAAAUUAGGCUUACAGCAGGUAAAGCUCCCUUCGAUCGAAUGGCGAGGUCCCGUCCCCAAAUUCCACGUCCCCCGACCCAGCCACAUUCCCCUCCGGCAGAUGAAAGGCAGAGCUCUCCGUCCCGGUGUCACCAGCAUCUCCGAGCUCUGCCUUAAUUCAAUUAAACCUCGGAACGCCAGGAAACCAGCGGAGAUCCACCCGAGCAAACCAGUAGCCUGGCCUAACAAAGGACCUUUCUUUGCAGAGGGUGCAAGGAGCUCGGCCAGCCCAUGUGUCAUCCAGCCCCGGCGACUCCCGGCUCUGCGGGGUUAACGAUUCAGACACCACUGCGAGCUCUGGGACUGCAACUUGGCUUAGAUAGCGUCUCAGCCCUGGGGCAAUUCCUCUAAAUCAAUUUUCAAAACAAUCAGUUUAGGGGCUUUUAAUUAAGCUUUAAACCAGUGGUUAAAAAUAGCAGUUUACUUCUUUGGGAUGCAAACUAGGCUAGCAUAAAAAUAAAUCAGAGAGACGGGCCCGCUGCCUUUUGGGAUUCGGGGCGACGUAGAUUAUAUACGUCCCAAGAUUACGAGGAUUUCUCUUUCUUCUAAUACUUAUUCUCUC